GACUGGGAUAACCCUGGGAAACUGGGGAUAAUACCGGAUAGGCAAUUUUUCCUGGAAUGGUUUUUUGUUUAAAUGUUUUUUCGCCUAAGGAUGGGUCUGCGGCCGAUUAGGUAGUUGGUUAGGUAAUGGCUUACCAAGCCGUUGAUCGGUACGGGUUGUGAGAGCAAGAGCCCGGAGAUGGAACCUGAGACAAGGUUCCAGGCCCUACGGGGUGCAGCAGGCGCGAAACCUCCGCAAUGUGAGAAAUCGCGACGGGGGGAUCCCAAGUGCCAUUCUUAACGGGAUGGCUUUUCAUUAGUGUAAAGAGCUUUUGGAAUAAGAGCUGGGCAAGACCGGUGCCAGCCGCCGCGGUAACACCGGCAGCUCUAGUGGUAACAAUUUUUAUUGGGCCUAAAGCGUCCGUAGCCGGUUUAAUAAGUCUCUGGUGAAAUCCUGUAGCUUAACUGUGGGAAUUGCUGGAGAUACUAUUAGACUUGAGACCGGGAGAGGUUAGAGGUACUCCCAGGGUAGAGGUGAAAUUCUGUAAUCCUGGGAGGACCGCCUGUUGCGAAGGCGUCUAACUGGAACGGUUCUGACGGUGAGGGACGAAAGUUAGGGGCGCGAACCGGAUUAGAUACCCGGGUAGUCCUAACUGUAAACGAUGCGGACUUGGUGUUGGGGUGGCUUUGAGCUGCUCCAGUGCCGAAGGGAAGCUGUUAAGUCCGCCGCCUGGGAAGUACGGUCGCAAGACUGAAACUUAA
rnacentral:rRNA from 1 species